GCUGUGGCUCAGUGGUAGAGCACAUGCCUUCCAUGCGCAAGGUCCCAGGUUCAAGCCUCAGCCUCUCCA